UGGUGUCAGGGUAAUAGCUAUGAAUAGUCAUCGACUCCCAAGAAAGGGUAGAAGAAGAAGAAUGCGACCUAUUAUAGGACAUACAAUGCAUUACAAACGUAUGAUCAUUACGCUUCAGCCGUGUUAUUCUAUAGAAAUUAGAACUAAUCAAGAAUCCGGAGAUAUAUGAUAAUAUUACUUUUGGAUAUUUCUGAAUUGAAUCAAAAAUGGAUAUCUGAAUUCUCGGAAAAACUUGACAAAGACAUUAAUAUUAGGGUGAAUAAGGAAGUAGGGCAAACAUAUCUUGUAGUAUUAUUCUGGGAUGAAGAUUAAAUUCAUCAACAACGUAUGAUCAUUACGCUUCAACCGUGUUAUUCUAUUCCACCUCUUAGAAAGAAAUGAACUUUAAUAAAAAUACACUUAAUAACAUAACAUGGCGAUACAUUUAUCCAAAACUUCUAGCCCGAGCACACGCAAUGGAGCCGUAAACAGUCAAGUGAAAUCCAAUUCACGAAAUCGUUUGAUUUCUGAUAUGAUCAUUACGCGUCAACCGUGUUAUUCUAUUCCACCUCUUAGAAAGAAAAGAACUUUAAUAAAAAUACACUUAAUAACAUAACAUGGCGAUACAUUUAUCCAAAACUUCUAGCCCGAGCACACGUAAUGGAGCCGUAAACAGUCAAGUGAAAUCCAAUUCACGAAAUCGUUUGAUUUCUGGACAGCAUCAUUGUGGUAAAGGGCGUAAUGCCAGAGGAAUCAUUACCGCAGGGCAUAGAGGGGGAGGUCAUAAGCAUCUAUACCGUAAAAUUGAUUUUAGACGCAAUGAAAAAGACAUAUAUGGUAGAAUCAUAACCAUAGAAUAUGACCCUAAUCGAAAUGCACACAUUUGUCUCAUACACUAUGGGGAUGGUGAGAAAAGAUAAAUUUUACACCCCAAAGGGGCUAUAAUUGGAGAUACCAUUGUUUAUGGUACAGAAGUUCCUAUAAAAAUGGGAAAUGCCCUACCUUUGAGUGCGGUUUGAACUAUUGAUUUACGUAAUUGGAAGUAACCAAUUGGGUUUAUGGCGAAACCUAGAAAUCGAUCACUGAUCCAAUUGGAGUAGAUAGACUUCAACAGAAAACUGAAGAAUAACGGCAGCAAGUGAUUGAGUUCAGUAGUUCCCAAUAUACAAUUAUUGACCCUAAACAAAUUGGUGCGGUAUAUUCAACUUAUAUUAUAAUAUAUGAACAGUAAAAAAGCUAGUAUUCUUAUUGAGACUAGAACUCAUAGGGAAGAAAGAAUAAAAUAGAUUUAUGAAUGGAAUCAAAUAUGAAGUAUUUACAGAAAAAAGUAUUCGGUUAUGGGGAAAAAAUCAAUAUACUUUUGAUGUCGAAUCAGGAUCAACUAGGACAGAAAUCAAACAUUGGAUGGAACUCUUCUUUGGUGUCAGGGUAAUAGCUAUGGAUAGUCAUCGACUCCCAAGAAAGGGUAGAAGAAGAAGAAUGCGACCUAUUAUAGGACAUACAAUACAUUACAAACGUAUGAUCAUUACGCUUCAACUGUGUUAUUCUAUAGAAAUUAGAACUAAUCAACAAUCCGGAGAUAUAUGAUAAUAUUACUUUUGGAUAUUUCUGAAUUGAAUCAAAAAUGGAUAUCUGAAUUCUCGGAAAAACUUGACAAAGACAUUAUUAUUAGGGUGAAUAAGGAAGUAGGGCAAACAAUGAAUCAAAAAUGGAUAUCUGAAUUCUCGGAAAAACUUGACAAAGACAUUAUUAUUAGGGUGAAUAAGGAAGUAGGGCAAACAUAUCUUGUAGUAUUAUUCUGGGAUGAAGAUUAAAUUCAUCAACAAUGUAUGAUCAUUACGCUUCAACCGUGUUAUUCUAUUCCACUUCUUAGAAAGAAAAGAACUUUAAUAAAAAUACACUUAAUAACAUAACAUGGCGAUACAUUUAUCCAAAACUUCUA
rnacentral:lncRNA from 1 species